UACAUUAGGAGCUGCUACAGGUGUGGACCCACCACGGUGUGGCAAAUGGGAGUGGUGUUGUAUGAAGCGCUUCAUGCACGAUACUUUAGUACCGCGAGGUUCCUCACAAAGCAACUGAGCAUCAAAAAGCGUCUGUCCACAGAAUGCCGGAAUUUCUUGGACGCAUGUUUAGCUUUAGCCCCGGAGAAGCGCCCAACACUGGAGGAGCUCCAGCUUCACCCCUGGCUAAGAUAACACACACAAACACACAAUUCACACCUUAUCAUGUAAGUGUGAUACAUUGUAGUAACUUCCUUUCUUUUUUCUGUUGGACAGGAAUAGAUAGAGUGGGUCAAUCUUAAAAAAUAAAUAAAUAAAAAUUUAGCUUUUUCGGAGUUCCUGUAACCCCCCCAGCCAUCCCAGGAAAGGGGAUUUCUCUUUGAAUGGGCUUUCCCGAGGUUUCUUCCCAUCGAUCUGGCCCCCUGGGGAGUUUUUCCUCGUCUUCAUAGAGAGCUUGGGCUGGGUCAGGAGCUCCAUCAAAACUGUCUUUAUUUGAUGACAUUAAAGUCAUCAAAUAAAGAUGUGUUUUACUUAAAGUAAAAUUUGAUCAAAAUAAAACUUGUUUAAUUCAU